CACGGAGUUAGCCGGAGCUUAUUCUCCCGGUACUGUCAUUAUCAUCCCGGGUAAAAGAGCUUUACAACCCUAAGGCCUUCAUCACUCACGCGGCAUUGCUGGAUCGGGCUUUCGCCCAUUGUCCAAUAUUCCCCACUGCUGCCUCCCGUAGGAGUCUGGGCCGUGUCUCAGUCCCAGUGUGGCUGAUCAUCCUCUCAGACCAGCUAAGGAUCGUCGGCUUGGUAGGCCAUUACCCCACCAACUACCUAAUCCUACGCGGGCCCAUCCAAAGGCGAUAAAUCUUUGGUCCGAAGACAUUAUUCGGUAUUAGCCAGGAUUUCUCCUGGUUAUUCCGAACCUAAGGGCAGGUUCCCACGUGUUACGCACCCGUGCGCCACUAGACUCGAAGGUCUCGUUCGACUUGCACGUGUUAGGCAUGCCGCCAGCGUUCGUUCUGAGCCAGGAUCAAACUCU
rnacentral:rRNA from 1 species